AUUGAACGCUGGCGGCAUGCCUUACACAUGCAAGUCGAACGGUAACGGGCCUUCGGGUGCCGACGAGUGGCGAACGGGUGAGUAAUGCAUCGGAACGUACCUUUCAGUGGGGGAUAACGUAGCGAAAGUUACGCUAAUACCGCAUAUUCUGUGAGCAGGAAAGCAGGGGAUCGCAAGACCUUGCGCUGAUUGAGCGGGCGAUGUCAGAUUAGCUAGUUGGUGAGGUAAAGGCUCACCAAGGCGACGAUCCGUAGCGGGUCUGAGAGGAUGAUCCGCCACACUGGAACUGAGACACGGUCCAGACUCCUACGGGAGGCAGCAGUGGGGAAUUUUGGACAAUGGGGGCAACCCUGAUCCAGCCAUGCCGCGUGAGUGAAGAAGGCCUUCGGGUUGUAAAGCUCUUUCGGCCGGGAAGAAAUCGUAUCAGCUAAUACCUGGUGCGGAUGACGGUACCGGCAUAAGAAGCACCGGCUAACUACGUGCCAGCCGCCGCGGUAAGAC
rnacentral:rRNA from 1 species